CCUACGGGAGGCAGCAGUGAGGGAUAUUGCGCAAUGGGCGAAAGCCUGACGCAGCGACGCCGCGUGGGCGAGGAAGGCCUUCGGGUUGUAAAGCCCUUUUGGCAGGGAAGAGCAAGGACUGUACCUGCAGAACAAGUCACGGCUAACUACGUGCCAGCAGCCGCGGUAAAACGUAGGAGGCAAGCGUUAUCCGGAUUCACUGGGCGUAAAGCGCGCGCAGGUGGCCUGUCAAGUCGGACGUGAAAUCUCCCGGCUCAACUGGGAGGGGCCGUACGAUACUGGCGGGCUGGAGGGCAGAAGGGGAAGGCGAAAUUCCCGGUGUAGGGGUGGAAUGCGUAGAUAUCGGGAGGAACACCAGUGGCGAGGGCGGCCUUCUGGUCUGCCCCUGACACUCAGGCGCGAAAGCGUGG
rnacentral:rRNA from 1 species